rnacentral:rRNA from 1 species
UUACGGGGGGCAGCAGUGGGGAAUAUUGGACAAUGGGGGAAACCCUGAUCCAGCAAUGCCGCGUGUGUGAAGAAGGCCUGCGGGUUGUAAAGCACUUUCGGUUGGGAGGACUGCUUCUAGCACUAAUAUUGUUGGAAGUUGACGUUACCUUCAGAAGAAGCACCGGCUAACUCCGUGCCAGAGCCGCGGUAAUACGGAGGGUGCACGCGUUAAUCGGAAUUACUGGGCGUAAAGCGCGCGUAGGCGGCUAGAUCAGUCGGGUGUGAAAGCCCCGGGCUUAACCUGGGAACUGCAUCCGAUACUGUCUAGCUUGAGUACAGGAGAGGAGAGUGGAAUUCCACAUGUAGCGGUGAAAUGCGUAGAUAUGUGGAGGAACACCAAUGGCGAAGGCAGCUCUCUGGCCUGAUACUGACGCUGAGGUGCGAAAGCGUGGGGAGCAAGCAGGAUUAGAUACCCGCGUAGUC